rnacentral:tRNA from 1 species
AAUGAAAUGCCUGAUAAAAGGAUUUUCUUGAUAGGAAAAAUAAUGCAUACUUUUGCUUUCAUUA